UACAGAGGUCUCGAGCGUUAAUCGGAGUCACUGGGCUUAAAGGGUGCGUAGGCGGUCCCGCAAGUGCUUUGUGAAAUCCCAUGGCUCAACCAUGGAAUUGCUUGGCAGACUGCGGGGCUUGAGGUCGGUAGAGGUCGCUGGAACUCUAGGUGGAGCGGUGAAAUGCGUAGAUAUCUAGAGGAACGCCGAUGGUGAAGACAGGCGACUGGGCCGAUUCUGACGCUGAGGCACGAAAGCGUGGGGAGCAAACGGG
rnacentral:rRNA from 1 species